UUUUCAGGAAAGGAUGGCAGGUGGUGCCGCGGUGAACACUCCCAACACAUGCAGGAGGAAACAGCGGCGGGAGCUUUUUCCUUCCUCGCGGCCAGACGACGCGGACUGGCUUUUUCCUGCUCCUCCUGACACACUCACAGUUUACCGCGUCCUCCACUCCCUUCCACACAUCGCUAGCAGCAGCAAAGCAGUCCUACACCACCUAAGAGCACUAAUAUUACCACUAGUAUCAUCAUUACACAGCAUCAACAACAGUAGGAAUAGUAUUUUUGCUGUUGUAAUUUUUUCCAUCGGUAAUGAUACUGAUAGAGAGAUGUGUAAUGUGAGUAAUGAUAUUCCUGAUUAUUUCAGUGAUACUGCAUGGAAUAUUAAUGACUAUAACGACACCUCCUCCUGCCAGCAUAAUAAUAGUGAUGGUAAUUGUAAUAGUAAUGACAGUGAUGAUGAUGAUACCAACAGCAAUAGUGGUGGUGGUGGUGGUGGUGGUGGUGGUGAUGAUGAUGGUGCAGCAGCGGAGAUGAGCAAGCAAACGAGCACGCGCAGAUGAAGAGAAGGACGGGGAAAAAGAAACUGACACGGCGAAAACAAGGAAGGACGAGGACGAACAAACAAGAUGCCGGUGACGAAGGUGAGGCGGAACAGAAAGGGUGAGAGGUACACAUAUAAGGAAACAUGGCACGACUUACCAUGCCCUCCUAUGCCACCCCCUCCUCCUCCUUGCCCGCCAAUUCCCACUCUAAAUUACAUUCCUCUUCCUUCGCAUAGACUGAGACAAGAAGUUUCUACAGAUGAUGGGCCUUAAAGGAGUUCAGAUUUUUUUGAGUGUGUGAGUGACAAGGAAUGAGUUUUGAAAGCGAGCAGGAAAAUAAAUGUAUGGUAUGUCA